CUUUCCCGUCUGCAGUCACCGCAAGAAUAGGCUGGGCUGGGCUGCUGAAGAAGGAGACACAUGGAAUAGAAUGGAGUUGCCCAGUCAUACUGGUUGAGACCUUUCUAUAUCAGAGCAGUAAGCCAGCCCCUAGACAUAAGGAAGCCCAGCAGAAGUCAGCAGAGCUCUUAGGCAAUUCACAGCUGCCUGCAGGAAAAUCAUAGUCAAGAUCAGUUUACCUGCAGUGGAAGCCCCUGAAGCCAUGACUGGCAUGCACAUUGAGAAGGCUGUGUUUUUUUCCUGCCUUUUUAACAUGUCAUAAAAUUUUUUGUGAAAAGCUGGACUUAAUGUAUUGGAGAAUUGAAACUGAGUUGGAAGAUUCUGUGCCUGUUGUCAAGGUGACACUCCCCGGAAUUUUAAAGAGAAGUUUUAAAGUAGGAUGCUUUGGCUAGUAUUUGCAGAAACAUAUACACUUUUUUUACAUGAUAAGGAAAACAACAGAUAUUUAUUCUUCAUCCCAGGGGGAAAAAAACCCUUGGAGGAAUAAUUCAGAGGCAACAUCCUUAACGGGUGAUCAGUAGACACAAGACUCAUCCCAGUGAGCCACUGGUUCUGGCAGCUGUGUGACUUUGGACAGAGAUAUCUACAAUCUUUCAAUAUUGUUUGUGCACCAACUGCAUUCUCCACGUUGUAUUACUGCAGAUUUAUUGAUGAGUAAAACAAAUUCCUACCCUCAAGGAGUUUGCAAGCAAAAGAGUGAAAUGAAGAUGAAAGUGCAAUGCUCCACUGUCUUUUCGUGUGCUCAGAGAUUACUUUCUUAAUCUUUAAAAUGAAAGGCUUUUGCCUAAAUGACUGAGUGAUGUUGCACCUAUAACCCUAAUAUUCUUUGAUUCCCAAGGACAAGAAUCAGAACUAACAAGGUAUAUAAUGACAAAAGAAUUUUCAUUAUGAGGAACUUAUCAAGAAAUCAUAGAGUGGAGAGACUUGCACUAAAAACACUUAAAAUGAAUGGGAAGCCCGUCAGCAUAUUGUAUGUCCAUAUUUUCCAAAAAGAGUUAAGUUUGUAAGCUACUGCAUAGGACCAUGGGAAUUCUGGAUGUCCUUGGACUGUAUCACAUGUGGUUUCUUGGCAUCUUAGAUGAUGCAAUUUUUUAUUGCUUUGUCCGUGCAAUAAACGCUGAUAAAUUUUUCGGUUUAAAAUUUACCAAGUCUGCUACUGUAUCCCAGAAUUCUCAAUGAAAGAAAAUAUUUACAGUUUUUAACAUUACAGGUAGAAAAAGGAUCAAAGUGAUUUUCUUAAAUUUCCUUCUAAUUCAUGGAAAAAAGAACACAGUCAGUGAGGGUCUUUGCUCCUGUUCCCCAAUUUUCUUUGUCCAAAUGGCUCAGCCUUGAAUUCAAGAGGAGUGGUGCAGGAUUUAAUUGCUCCCACUUGUCUUCCUUGUGCAAAACUGCAGCUAGAAGAGCAAAUGAUAAGUUGAGAAUAUUUAACACUCAGCAACAAUACCAGGAACUUGUUCAAACUUUGUUUUUGAAGCUUCUUGACCUUCCAAUGAUUUAUUUCUUCCACACAUGGUUUCAUUAGAACUUCACUUGGAGAAGAAGAGAAAUAGCAAAUAACAGCAUCUUUCAUCUAUAACCAGAAUAUUCCAAGCCUUUCAAAAGUUGUUGCAAAAAGAAUAAAGUAUGAGCUACCUAGGCCUUGUUUGUCUGAGUCUUGCAUCCUGCUCAUAAAAGUAACACAAAAUUUUUUCAACAAGGACUAAGAAUGAGCUUAUUAUUUUUUAACAUACAUACAAUUUAUUCAUGAUAAUAUUGCUAGUAGAAGCCUGGAAAUAACUGAGAUGCCAAUAAACAGGAAAAUUACUAAUUAUAUCUAUACAAUGAAAUCUAUGCAACUGAUUUAAAAUUAAGGAUGCACCCUCUUAUUUUUAGUGUGUAUGUAUAAAUGGAUACGUGGUAUGUUGUCAAAGAAGGUUUAGAAGUUCAAUUUAAAUAAUACUGAAGAUACCUGCUAUUGUAUAAGCAAUGAAAAUGCUAUACAGAUGUUCUGAAAUAAAACAAACACACCCAUACUCUGACCACUGAACUUUGGACCAGUAUUGCUCUUCAUUAGUAUCCUAAAAUGUAUGGACAUUUUAUGGGUCAUUGUUCCAAACCUGUCUUUGGAGCUAUUUGGAGUAGCACAGAACCAACCUGUCUUUAGAGCUUCCUUGAGCAGCACAGAAAAGGGACUUUCAGAGCUUCAGGAGACAGUAUUUCAUCCAAGUGCAGCUUCUGGAAGUGAAAUGUAUUUAGAAGGUUUGCUCUGCUAUUGUAAUUUCCCAAGUAGGCCCAUGUGACUCUGCAAACCCUAGGCCUGAGCCAGAUUUGUUUGAAAUGUCAGCCAAACUACCAGCACCUUACAUCAUGAUAUGGUCUGACUCUGUGUUCCCAUCCAAAUCUCAUAUCAAAUUGUAAUUCCCAGUGUUGCAGGAGGGGCCCAGUGGGAGGUGAUCGAAUCAUGGGGGUGGACCUCCCCCUUGCUGUUCUUGUGAUAGAAUUUUCCUUAUAUCUGCUUGUUUAAAAGUGUGUUUAAAGGCACCUUCCCCACACUUCCUGCCAGCCAUAUGAAGAUGGGCUUGCUUCCCUUUCAACUUCUGCCAUGAUUGUAAGUUUCCUGAGGCCUACCCAGAAACAGAAGCCUGUACAGCCUGCAGAACUAUGAGCUGAUUAAACCUCUUUUCUUUAUAAAUUACCCAGUCUCCAGUAUGUCUUUAUAGCAAUGUUGAGAACAGACUAACUCCAUGAGCAUCUCAAAUGUCAUCAUCACAGGUAAUAUCUAUUGAGCUCUCAC
rnacentral:lncRNA from 1 species